rnacentral:rRNA from 1 species
GGCGGCGUGCCUAAUACAUGCAAGUGGGACGCAAGGAAACACACUGUGCUUGCACACCGUGUUUUCUUGAGUCGCGAACGGGUGAGUAACGCGUAGGUAACCUGCCUUUAGCGGGGGAUAACUAUUGGAAACGAUAGCUAAUACCGCAUAAUAUUAAUUAUUGCUGAUAAUUGAUUGAAAGAUGCAAGCGCAUCACUAGUAGAUGGACCUGCGUUGUAUUAGCUAGUUGGUAAGGUAAGAGCUUACCAAGGCGACGAUACAUAGCCGACCUGAGAGGGUGAUCGGCCACACUGGGACUGAGACACGGCCCAGACUCCUACGGGAGGCAGCAGUAGGGAAUCUUCGGCAAUGGACGAAAGUCUGACCGAGCAACGCCGCGUGAGUGAAGAAGGUUUUCGGAUCGUAAAGCUCUGUUGUAAGUCAAGAACGUGUGUGAGAGUGGAAAGUUCACACAGUGACGGAGCUACCAGAAA